UACGGAGGGUGCAAGCGUUAUCCGGAUUUACUGGGUUUAAAGCGUGCGCAGGCGGUCUGUUAAGACCGAUGUGAAAUCCCCGGGCUCAACCUGGGAACUGCAUUUGUGACUGCAUCGCUGGAGUGCGGCAGAGGGGGAUGGAAUUCCGCGUGUAGCAGUGAAAUGCGUAGAUAUGCGGAGGAACACCGAUGGCGAAGGCAAUCCCCUGGGCCUGCACUGACGCUCAUGCACGAAAGCGUGGGGAGCAAACAGG
rnacentral:rRNA from 1 species